CGAUGAGACUUUAACAGAACCCUUCGGGGCGAAGAUAGAGCGGAUUAGCGGCGGACGGGUGAGUAACACGUGAGUAACCUGCCUUAGACAUUGGGAUAGCCUCGGGAAACCGGGAUUAAUACCAAAUAAAAUCAUAAUGACACAUGUCAUAACGAUCAAAACUCCGGUGGUCUAAGAUGGACUCGCGUCCCAUUAGCUAGUUGGUAGAGUAAAAGCCUACCAAGGCGACGAUGGGUAGCCGGCCUGAGAGGGUGAACGGCCACAUUGGAACUGAGAAACGGUCCAAGCUCCUACGGGAGGCAGCAGUGGGGAAUAUUGCACAAUGGAGGGAACUCUGAUGCAGCGACGCCGCGUGAACGAAGAAGGCUUUCGAGUCGUAAAGUUCUUUUAUAUGGGAAGAUAAUGACGGUACCAUAAGAAAAAGCCCCGGCUAACUACGUGCCAGCAGCCGCGGUAAUACGUAGGGGGCUAGCGUUGUCCGGAAUCACUGGGCGUAAAGGGUUCGCAGGCGGAAAUGCAAGUCAGAUGUAAAAGGCAGUAGCUUAACUACUGUAAGCAUUUGAAACUGCAUAUCUUGAGAAGAGUAGAGGUAAGUGGAAUUUUUAGUGUAGUGGUGAAAUGCGUAGAUAUUAAAAAGAAUACCGGUGGCGAAGGCGACUUACU
rnacentral:rRNA from 2 species